AUUGAACGCUGGUGGCAUGCCUUACACAUGCAAGUCGAACGGCAGCACGGGUGCUUGCACCUGGUGGCGAGUGGCGAACGGGGGAGUAAUACAUCGGAACGUACCUUAUCGUGGGGGAUAAUGCAGCGAAAGCUGUGCUAAUACUGCAUCCGCCCUGAGGGGGAAAGCGGGGGAUCGCAAGACCACGCGCGCUUAGAGCGGCCGAUGCCUGAUUAGCUAGUUGGUGGGGUAAAAGCCCACCAAGGCGACGAUCAGUCGCUGGUCUGAGAGGACGAUCAGCCACACGGGGACGGAGACACGGCCCAGACUCCUACGGGAGGCAGCAGUGGGGAAUUUUGGACAAUGGGGGCAACCCUGAUCCAGCAAUGCCGCGUGAGUGAAGAAGGCCUUCGGGUUGUAAAGCUCUUUUGUCAGGGAAGAAACACCGGCUCUAACACAGUCCGGGAAUGACGGUACCUGAAGAAUAAGCACCGGCUAACUACGUGCCAGCAGCCGCGGUAA
rnacentral:rRNA from 1 species